UAGGAUAGAGGCCUACCAUGGUGGUAACGGGUAACGGGGUGUUAGGGCACGACACCGGAGAGGGAGCCUGAGAAACGGCUACCACAUCCAAGGAUGGCAGCAGGCGCGCAAAUUACCCAAUCCCGACACGGGGAGGUAGUGACAAUAAAUAACAAUACGGGGCUCAUUUGGGUCUCGUAAUUGGAAUGAGUACAAUUUAAAUCCCUUAACGAGGAACAAUUGGAGGGCAAGUCUGGUGCUGGCAGCCGCGGUAAUUCCAGCUCCAAUAGCGUAUAUUAAAGUUGUUGCAGUUAAAAAGCUCGUAGUUGAACUUCGGGAUUUAUUCAUUGGUCAGGCUUAACUGUCUGUACUGGUGUUAUGAAUUCCUACCUUCUGAGGAAUCAUCAUGCCAUUCAGUUGGUGUGGUGGAAAAUCAGGACUGUUACUUUGAAAAAAUUAGAGUGUUUAAAGCAGGCUCGCGCUUGAAUACAUUAGCAUGGAAUAAUGAAAUAGGACGUUUGAUUCUAUUUUGUUGGUUUCUAGGAUCGACGUAAUGAUUAAUAGGUAUAGUUGGGGGCAUUAGUAUUCAAUUGUCAGAGGUGAAAUUCUUGGAUUUAUUGAAGACUAACUACUGCGAAAGCAUUUGCCAAGGAUGUUUUCAUUAAUCAAGAACGAAAGUUAGGGGAUCGAAGACGAUCAGAUACCGUCGUAGUCUUAACCAUAAACUAUGCCGACUAGGGAUCGGACGAAGUUAAUUUUUAAAUGACUCGUUCGGCACCUUACGGGAAACC
rnacentral:rRNA from 1 species